CCUACGGGUGGCUGCAGUGGGGAAUAUUGGACAAUGGGCGAAAGCCUGAUCCAGCCAUGCCGCGUGUGUGAAGAAGGCCUUCGGGGUGUAAAGCACUUUCAGUGGGGAAGAAAGCCUUGGGGCUAAUACCCUCGAGGAAGGACAUCACCCACAGAAGAAGCACCGGCUAACUCCGUGCCAGCAGCCGCGGUAAUACGGAGGGUGCGAGCGUUAAUCGGAAUUACUGGGCGUAAAGCGCGCGUAGGCGGUCUGAUAAGCCGGUUGUGAAAGCCCCGGGCUCAACCUGGGAACGGCAUCCGGAACUGUCAGGCUAGAGUGCAGGAGAGGAAGGUAGAAUUCCCGGUGUAGCGGUGAAAUGCGUAGAGAUCGGGAGGAAUACCAGUGGCGAAGGCGGCCUUCUGGACUGACACUGACGCUGAGGUGCGAAAGCGUGGGUAGCAAACAGGAUUAGAUACCCUAGUAGUC
rnacentral:rRNA from 1 species